CCUACGGGUGACAGCAGUGAGGAAUAUUGGUCAAUGGACGCAAGUCUGAACCAGCCAUGCCGCGUGCAGGAAGACGGCUCUAUGAGUUGUAAACUGCUUUUGUACGAGGGUAAACGCAGAUACGCGUAUCUGUCUGAAAGUAUCGUACGAAUAAGGAUCGGCUAACUCCGUGCCAGCAGCCGCGGUAAUACGGAGGAUUCAAGCGUUAUCCGGAUUUAUUGGGUUUAAAGGGUGCGUAGGCGGUCGGAUAAGUUAGAGGUGAAAUCCCGAGGCUCAACUUCGGAAUUGCCUCUGAUACUGUUAGGCUAGAGAGUAGUUGCGGUAGGCGGAAUGUAUGGUGUAGCGGUGAAAUGCUUAGAGAUCAUACAGAACACCGAUUGCGAAGACAGCUUACCAAGCUACGUCUGACGUUGAGGCACGAAAGCGUGGGGAGCAAACAGGAUUAGAUACCCGAGUAGUC
rnacentral:rRNA from 1 species